rnacentral:rRNA from 1 species
UAGGGAAUCUUCGGCAAUGGGGGGAACCCUGACCGAGCAACGCCGCGUGAGUGAAGAAGGUUUUCGGAUCGUAAAGCUCUGUUGUUAAGGAAGAACGAGUGUGAGAAUGGAAAGUUCAUGCUGUGACGGUACUUAACCAGAAAGGGACGGCUAACUACGUGCCAGCAGCCGCGGUAAUACGUAGGUCCCGGGCGUUGUCCGGAUUUAUUGGGCGUAAAGCGAGCGCAGGCGGUUAGAAAAGUCUGAAGUGAAAGGCAGUGGCUCAACCAUUGUAGGCUUUGGAAACUGUUUAACUUGAGUGCAGAAGGGGAGAGUGGAAUUCCAUGUGUAGCGGUGAAAUGCGUAGAUAUAUGGAGGAACACCGGUGGCGAAAGCGGCUCUCUGGUCUGUAACUAACGCUGAGGCUAGAAAGCGUGGGGCGCGAACAGG